ensembl:lncRNA novel transcript
CUGUCGGAGGCUGGUGGAGAAAGCUGCUGGCAGCCAGCCCGUGUGCAAGGGGAGCAGAGAGAAGGCUCAUUCCAGGAUCAUCCGUCAAUGCCAGCAAGUGAAGAUACAGAUUUCCUGAGCUUCUGGCAAAACUCGGUGGCUGAAAGCACACACCUGUUCCAAGGAGGGUCUGCCAGGGUAGGACAAUGACAGCAUCACCCGAGAGAAUUCCACAGGGGAAGGUGUGGGGCUGGGCAGCUCUUCCUCAAGGUGAAAAGAGAGAACCCACGUCUCCUGCAGCCAGCAGCCCUGUUCAGUGGCACCCUGAUGGCACGGUGGUUGCUUCCACUGGGGUUGGAGUCUAGGCUUUCUCCCCCAGGUAAGAGGAGCCCACCUUGAUUUGCCGCUGCAAUCUAAGAAGCCUAGACAUUUCUCAGGGAGAGAGGCAGGCAAGGCUACCAUGAGAAGGUGUGGACAUGGGCUUCUAAGACACGAAAAUGAAAAAUGACACUCUUCAGCUCAGCAAAAUUUGAAAGCAAGACCACUCCUGAAUCUCUCUGAAUGCUUGCUUUGUAGCCUGCGGGCAAAGCUGUCAUUUCAGACUAAACUCAGCCAGCGAGGAACUAAUGCUGAUAGUCUCAUCAUUUUCUUCCACUUCUCCUGACUUUUUUGUCUUGUUAAUACAUCGUAAGUAAUUCUUCCUCGUGUUAACAGUGGCCUUGUUUCACGCCCCGGCAUUCUGCGGGUGUGACAUUGAGUUCUGUGGAAGAAGGUUCCACUGUCAAAUUUAGAUAAAUGAAUAAGGUGAGAUCGUCCACAUUUUCCCGGUCCCACACCUCAUCUCAAAAUAUUAAGCCCCUGCUUUUCAAAUAUACGGUCGGCAUCUGUGUGCAUUUUGUAAGGACAAAAUAGUAAAUAUUAUCUUCCUCUUCUCUGGCCAUCAGCUGAGGACAUGCGGGAAGACAGUGUUGUAAUUCUUCUCUUUAUGAAGGUGAAAGGCAUUACCUGCGGGAGAUUAGCUAAGUCUGACCUUGACUCUCACGUGCUUUUGGCUCCAUCUUUCAGCUAUUUCAAAGAAGAAGGACUUUGAAGUGUUGAGGUAGGAGCCUGUAUCAUCUCUUUGCUGGUUUGCAGGUAAGUAGGCAGUACCCCUAGGCCUCCAUCCGUGAAUCUCUGAGAUCCUCUUUACAAUUUCUGAAACAAAAAUGGGCUAAACCUACAUUAGUCAGAACUAUGCUCUCCUGACAAUGGGCUCUGAAAAAAACAAACAAACAAAAACACCAAAACAGCUGACGCGGAGGGAAAAUAUCACUUCAUUCAUUGGGUUUCUGUUUGGGUUUGUUUCUUUCUUGUUUUUUUUUUUUUUUUUCCUUUUUGAUCUAUAAGAUGCCAACAACUGAUUUGACUGAUUUCCUCUAUUAUUUCCAGAAUGCUUAGCAUUCUGAACACACUCGGGUUUUCGUAUAUUAAUUUCUAUUUUUGCUUUCAUUGGGUUCAUUUCAGAGCAAUUUAUCAGGUUUAAGCUGGAAGUUGUUUUCAUCCUAAGAACCCUGGAUUUAAAAUCAGGGACCUGAAUUCCUGAAUCAGCCUUGUACAUGUUUUUCCCAAUGAGUCUUCUAUUCUGAGCCCUGAUUUUGUCGGCCUGGAGAUGAGACAAGGGACAAGGGGCCUUCAUACCUGCCUGCCUCCUGACCACUAAGAGUCCUUUGUAGGCUGUAAAGCUCUGGUCACCGCUCCCAUCUAUCACUUGGUGACCUCAGGAUCCCACCAGUGUCACCCCUGACAUGUCAUUAGAAUAUUGUCACCUAAAAUUCCCAGUUCAGUCUUGGUCCUCUUCUCCAACUCCGGGAUUGUGUCUUCCUCUGAUGUCAGGAACAUGAAGGGGUGUUGGAUGGGACAGGGUCACUGAUGACACUGAAACAGGAGAACCUCCCUUAUCCCCCUCUCAGGGCAUUGUGACAGGAGUACGGCUCGAUUCUUUGGUGCCCCGCUGCCCAAACCCCUGGGGGAGCAUACAGACAGGCAGUUCGUGGGGAGCGUUUUGGGGCUCUGACCCCACAGCAGCAUCUAGUGUUGAGGGGUUACAGCUCCCGAAGCCCCAGUGGGCGUGUGUUACAGUACACUCUUUCAGCUUUGCUGUCUGCAGGCAGCUUGUGGUCAUCAGCUCAAUUAGACCCUCUGCCUUAUCGCAAGGACAGAGCGCUACUUUCUGUAUCCCAGGUUCUUGCCUUAGAGUACCAGAAAAAUCAGACCACACAUGGGCUUGGAGAAUGGGUGCAAGGUUUUUUGCUGUUGUUGUUGUUUUUGUUUUGAGAUGGAGUCUCGCUCUGUUGCCCAGGCUGGAGUACAGUGGCAUGAUCUCGGCUCACUGCAACCUCCGCCUCCUGGGUUCAAGCAGUUCUCUGCCUCAACCUCCCAAGUAGCUGGGAUUACAGGCGCCCACCACCAUGCCCGGCUAAUUUUUGUAUUUUUAGUAGAGACGGGGAUUUCACCAUCUUGGCCAGGCUGAUCUUGAACUCCUGACCUCAUGAUCCACCCACCUCAGCCUCCCAAAGUGCUGGGAUUACAGACGUGAGCCACCACACCCGGCUGGAUGCAAGGUUUUAUUGAGUGGUGGAGGUGGCUCCUAGCAAGAUGGAUAGGGAAAAAGAAGGGGAAUGGAGUGGGAAGGUGGUCUUUUCCUGGAGUCAGGCCACCCAGCAGCCGGACUCUCCUGCAGCCACCCCCGGCCAAAUUCCCCUUGGCGUCAGCGUAGUUCUGCUGUCACUGGCUGCCAGCGUCUGCUGGUGUCUGUUGGUGUGCUAUUCUGCUCCUCUUAAUGUCCAGCUACUUGUGUCUGCGCUCGCUAGGGUCUGGGGUUUUUAUGGGCACAGGAUGGGCAGCGUGGUGGGCCAAAAGACAACUUUUCGAGUGUGAAAACAGAAAUACCUGUCCUCAUUCAGGUCCGUAGGCCCAGGUCCAAGGGUGGAGCUUUUGCCAGGGACACUGCCCUUCUCUACCCAGCACUUCUCUGCCCCCGCUUCCAUACUACCACCUCCAGGGACUCUCUAGGGCCCAUCAUUGUCCCCCGU